CUCAUAUAUUGAUGGUGGGACUGCAAAUUGUUGUAACCACUAUUGAAAGCAGUAUAUAGAUUCCUAAAAAAAUUUGGAAUGGAACUACCAUUUAACCCAGUUAUCCCAUUCCUGGGUUUAUACCCAAAGGACUUACAAACACCAUACUACAGUGACACAGUCACAUUAAUGUUUAUAGCAGCUCAACUCACAAUAGCUAAGCUAUGGAAACAACAUAGGUGUCCUUCAACAGAUGAACAGAUAAAGAAAAUGUGGUAUAUAUACACAAUGAAAUAUUUUGUGCCUUUUGCCAGUAAAUGGAAGAAUCUGGAGACUAUCAUGCUAAGUGAAAUAAGCCAAUCCUCAAAAUACAAAGGUCAAAAUGGUCUCUCUGAUAUGUGGAUGGUAACAUACAAUAAUGGGGAUGGGAGGGAAGAAUAGAAGUUCAUUAUAUUAGAUAAAGGGGAAUGAAGGGAAAAGAGGAGGGAUAGGAAUAGGAAAGACAGUAGAAUGAAUCAGACCUAACUUUCCUAUGUUCAUAUAUGAAUACACCACAGUGAAUUUCCACAUCAUGUACAACCAAAAGAACAGAAUUCUAAUUGGAGUAAGAAAUACUCCGUGUAUGUAUAAUAAGUCAAAAUAUACUCUAU
rnacentral:lncRNA from 1 species